GCAAGAGAGAAAGAUAAAAAAGGAAGGAAGUCGUGGAAGGAGCUAAUUAUUGAUUCAUUCAGUCUGCCUGAUAUACUUUAUUUUUCAUUUCUAUUUGUUUGAAUUUUUUCUUGUGAAUUAGAGGUGUGUGGAGACGGCGACAGCGACGGUAGAACAGCAACAGGAACUUUAUCAGCUGUGGAUCGAUUUUUAUUUUUUUCAGAACUACCGUAGUUGGAGAAAAGGAAAAAAAGACAAUU
rnacentral:ribozyme from 1 species